ACCAGGCAUGGUGGCGCACGCCUGUAAUCCCAGCACUCGGGAGGCUAAGGCAGGAGGAUCGUUGUGAGUUCGAGGCCAGCCUGGGCUACACAGUGAGCUCAAGGUCAGCCUGAACUACAUAGUGAGAUCCUGUCUCAAAAAGACAAAAAAAAAAAAAAAGACAAGUUCUCGCUAUGCAAUUCGGGCUGGCCUUGAGCUCACUCUUUAGUCCACGCUGGCCUCGAACUUGAAACGAUCCUCCUGCCUCA
rnacentral:sRNA from 1 species